GGGCUGAUUUCAGACUUCCAAGGUCCUGUCACUGAGCACAAAGUCGGGAUGACCUGCACAACUGUCCGGCACUACCCAGCUUCUCCACCGUACAGGAAAGCAGCGGAUGGUCACCUGUCUGGGUGAGUGAGUCUCCAAAGGAGCACAUCAGAGGAGCCCCUGGAAAUAUGUGGCUUCCAGUGUGUUGCUUUUGCCGCCGGGCAGGAAUGGAUUCUAGGUCUCUCAAAAGGGCGGAAACCAAGAGAUCAGUUGGCCCCGUGGAGACACCCGGUAGUAAGGAAGCAAAGGAGGCCUCCGGCCCACAGCCAGCAAGGAACCCAGGUCCUCGGUUCAACACAACUUCUUCAAACCAGUUUGAGCAGCAGUGGAGCAGAAGCGACAGAACUUGAGGAAAGCCCAGGAGACCAAGGUCUCGCCCUCUAACCCUUGCCCUGGGAGUGUUGCCAGUGGCAGAAGAGCUGCAGAAGGACGGCUGAUCACUAACCUAUCACACCUGCUGUGGGCCGUGGCCUGGGAACUUCUGCACCUUUGGACGGGAUUCCAUCUGAUCCUCGUGGCAGCCCCUGGGGGUCGAAGGGAGGACUGCUGUACUAUCCUCUGUGUGCAGCUUCUCAAGCCAGAAGACACACAUCAAGGAAGGUCGGUUAAUGCUCUCAUUGCCGGGUCCACCCCACUUUUCUUUCUUUCUUUUCUUUUUUCCUGUGCUGGAGCUUGAACCCAAGGCACUGCACACUACAACCCAGCCUGUUUAAUUUUUAAAGAGGGUCCCACUAAAUCGAUAAGGAGCCUAGGCUGGGCUCAAAUUUGUGACCCUCCUACCUCUGCUUCCCAGAGUGCUAGGAUUACAGAUGUGGGCUCACACGUUUCUAGUAUAUCGGGUCUCAGGCGGGAAUGUGCACAUCUAAUCAGCUCAAGUUUGUGCCUGUGUUUCUCACCCAGGGACCACACAUUGAAAAUGGAGUAAAAAGUUUAAGAUGCAGUACAUAUAUUUACCAAUACCCCGGAUGAAUACCUUCAUUAUGCAAUGCAAACAUAUACUAGUAAAAAUUAUUUAAAAAGAAGAAAAUAACUGCUCCUAACAAACUUACAUGUACUACCAUGGCUCAAGUACCUAUAAUAAAUUGAGCACAGAAAUGCCAUAGGAAAGGAGGUUCUGAUUUUACAUCUGAGGGUGUGAGAAUCGACGAGAAUAAGGAUCUAAACUGGGCAUGGGGGUGCACACCUGUAAUCCCAGCACUCAGGAGCCUGAGGCAGGAGGAUCCUUGGGAGUUCGAGGCCA